GGGGAAUAUUGCGCAAUGGGGGAAACCCUGACGCAGCAACGCCGCGUGAAGGAAGAAGGUCUUCGGAUCGUAAACUUCUUUGAUGAGGGACGAAAAGAUGACGGUACCUCAAAAACAAGCCACGGCUAACUACGUGCCAGCAGCCGCGGUAAUACGUAGGUGGCGAGCGUUGUCCGGAAUUACUGGGUGUAAAGGGCGCGUAGGCGGGGGAGCAAGUCAGAUGUGAAAUACCGUGGCUCAACCACGGGGCUGCAUCUGAAACUGUUUUUCUUGAGUGUCGGAGAGGAAAGUGGAAUUCCCAGUGUAGCGGUGAAAUGCGUAGAUAUUGGGAGGAACACCAGUGGCGAAGGCGACUUUCUGGACGAUAACUGACGCUGAGGCGCGAAAGCGUGGGGAGCAAAC
rnacentral:rRNA from 1 species